CAGGAAGCAGCUUGCUGCUUUGCUGACGAGUGGCGGACGGGUGAGUAAUGUCUGGGAAACUGCCUGAUGGAGGGGGAUAACUACUGGAAACGGUGGCUAAUACCGCAUAACGUCGCAAGACCAAAGAGGGGGACCUUCGGGCCUCUUGCCAUCAGAUGUGCCCAGAUGGGAUUAGCUUGUUGGUGAGGUAACGGCUCACCAAGGCGACGAUCCCUAGCUGGUCUGAGAGGAUGACCAGCCACACUGGAACUGAGACACGGUCCAGACUCCUACGGGAGGCAGCAGUGGGGAAUAUUGCACAAUGGGCGCAAGCCUGAUGCAGCCAUGCCGCGUGUAUGAAGAAGGCCUUCGGGUUGUAAAGUACUUUCAGCGGGGAGGAAGGUGUUGUGGUUAAUAACCGCAGCAAUUGACGUUACCCGCAGAAGAAGCACCGGCUAACUCCGUGCCAGCAGCCGCGGUAAUACGGAGGGUGCAAGCGUUAAUCGGAAUUACUGGGCGUAAAGCGCACGCAGGCGGUCUGUCAAGUCGGAUGUGAAAUCCCCGGGCUCAACCUGGGAACUGCAUUCGAAACUGGCAGGCUUGAGUCUUGUAGAGGGGGGUAGAAUUCCAGGUGUAGCGGUGAAAUGCGUAGAGAUCUGGAGGAAUACCGGUGGCGAAGGCGGCCCCCUGGACAAAGACUGACGCUCAGGUGCGAAAGCGUGGGGAGCAAACAGGAUUAGAUACCCUGGUAGUCCACGCCGUAAACGAUGUCUACUUGGAGGUUGUGCCCUUGAGGCGUGGCUUCCGGAGCUAACGCGUUAAGUAGACCGCCUGGGGAGUACGGCCGCAAGGUUAAAACUCAAAUGAAUUGACGGGGGCCCGCACAAGCGGUGGAGCAUGUGGUUUAAUUCGAUGCAACGCGAAGAACCUUACCUGGUCUUGACAUCCACAGAAGAAUCCAGAGAUGGAUUUGUGCCUUCGGGAACUGUGAGACAGGUGCUGCAUGGCUGUCGUCAGCUCGUGUUGUGAAAUGUUGGGUUAAGUCCCGCAACGAGCGCAACCCUUAUCCUUUGUUGCCAGCGGUCCGGCCGGGAACUCAAAGGAGACUGCCAGUGAUAAACUGGAGGAAGGUGGGGAUGACGUCAAGUCAUCAUGGCCCUUACGACCAGGGCUACACACGUGCUACAAUGGCGCAUACAAAGAGAAGCGACCUCGCGAGAGCAAGCGGACCUCAUAAAGUGCGUCGUAGUCCGGAUUGGAGUCUGCAACUCGACUCCAUGAAGUCGGAAUCGCUAGUAAUCGUGGAUCAGAAUGCCACGGUGAAUACGUUCCCGGGCCUUGUACACACCGCCCGUCACACCAUGGGAGUGGGUUGCAAAAGAAGUAGGUAGCUUAACCUUCGGGAGGGCGCUUACCACUUUGUGAUUCAUGACUGGGGUGAAGUCGUAACAAGGUAACCGUAGGGGAACCUGC
rnacentral:rRNA from 1 species